rnacentral:lncRNA from 1 species
GUUUUUCUCUUGUUAUGUUUUAGGUGUGAAGUGAACCCAGUCAGCAACGCAUCGAUUGGAGAGGAGCUUGGUAGACUAUACUGAUUCACUCCUGUCAUGGACCACAGCUUUCUAGUAUGGAACUUGACAGGUAUGGAACAAAUUUUUGGAGGAGAUACAUAAGACGAGUUCUGCAAUGUAUUGUAGAAGCCUUUGAUGUUGGUAUCCUGAUUAUAUGAUUGAUCUCCUGAGUUGUUACCUUAUCUCAAGGACGGACCACAUCCUUCAACACAGUGGGCAGAGUGAGAGAGAACAAGAGAGGAGCUGUAGAUUGUCACCAGAAAAUUUGAGCGAGAAAAGUGAGUUCUCAACACCCGAGAUCAUCACUGAUGUGUUGCCGAGCGAAGCGAGUUGUCACCAUCUGAGACCAUCACUCUUUCGCCGAGCGAAGUGAGUUCUCAACACCUGAGAUUAUCACUGUGUGUCGCCGAGCGAAGCGAGCUCUCACCCCCUGUUGCAGUCUUCAUUCAUCUGGAUUGCGCGGACGCAGAAGAGAGGGACAGACACACCAGAGGAGAAUGAUGGCCAGCUCCACAGAAGAAUAGUGAGAUGGAGGAUAUCGAGAAGAAGCAGAUUACAAAAUAUUGGAACAAAGUGACAAGUGCAAAAUGAUGAGACUCUAAUUUAGUGCAAUGAUUGAUUUAAAGUGAAAAAGUCAAGUGUGAGAAUGGAAGGACUCUAAUCUGGUUUCACUCACACCAAGGACAUUGAAAUGUUUUGUUGUUGUGUUAUGUUUUUCAGCUUUUGCAUGUUGUCAUGUUUUUUUAGCUUUUUCUUGUUCUGAAAUAAAUGAGCAUGGGGUGUGUUCUAUUUUGGGGUGGGGGGGCUUUUCAGGCAUCGAUGCAGGCAGGCAGAAUGAGGAGGAGGGGAGAGGACAUCGCAGAACUUCAAAAAAGGUAAAAGUCAGCUCUCAGCCGAUUUUAGCAGUUCAAUCAAAUUCUCUCUUCUCAUACUAUUCACAUACUUUUCAAUUUAUUUCAGUUUUCAUCAUUUCAGUCAUUUGUCUUUACAGUAUUUUAAAUUUUCAUACAAGUUUAUAAUUAUUUACAAGUGGCAUCUUUCGAUGUAACUUGUGAAUUCUUUUGAAUCAAUUUUUCUUUUAAAUAUUCAAUUUGUAAAUACGUUCAAUUCUAAAGUCUGACUUUUGUAAUUAAAUUUGUAUUGUUGAACUGUUCAAUUCGGUUGUGGGCGACUUGUAUGAAAUUGGUGAUGCAUGCCUAGACCAUCAACCCCUUUUUAGUAGUAGUUUCUUUUCAGUUCUUCUUUCUAUUAGCUUUGUUUUUAAAAUUUCAAUUUUAUUUUCUCACUGUUUAGUUUCAGGUUUUAUUUAUUUGCUUUGGAGGCGAACCUUCAGUUCAAAUUCAAUAUCGAAGUAUAUGUCGAUACAUGGUUAUUUUUUGUUUUCUUGAGCUUUUAGGAAAUGUCCCUUCCAUUUUUUAUUUUCAGUUUUUUUUAGUUCUUUCUGUUCUAGGAUUGACCCUUUUCAUAAUUCUUUGCUAGAUUAGUUAAUGGACCCUCAGUCCAUUAAAUACUCAGAAUUAGUACUUUCUCUUAAUUACAAUUCCCUUUCUUCUAAUAUAAUGUUAGUUUCAUUGAAUUGUUAAAUAUUUUGUUGGGUGUUGCCACACUGUUUGCAUUUUUUCAGGUGGAAAUUGUCUUCAUCUUCUUUCUCCUGUAUUUUUCUUUCUUGUGUUGUUGUUGCAUCUUUCAAAAUAUUGUUAGCUAACUUCUAAAAACUGCCAUAUCUUCUGUAUAUUUUUGUAGAGUGUAUUUUCAAUUGUAAAAUGUGCAUGUAAUAAUCCUCCUUCCUUUACCUCAUAUUCAUUUUCUGCUUUGCCUUUCCCUCAUCCUCUCCAGUGUAAAUACCUUACCUACUUAGUUCUUCUGACUCCAACUCUCAUGUAGUAUUUCACCUCAACUCAUCCUUCCUCCACUACACUCACUCACCACUUCCUCUAAAUACAAAUCUACUUUCACUCCUUCUCAUUCCUUAAUUUUUUUCUAACUGGCAUUCUCGUUCCAUUGCAUUCUUACUUCCUUUUCCUUACUCCCACGAUCAUUCCCAUUUCUGCAUCCUUAUCCUGAUAUUUUUCAUCUUCUUCCACAAUCCUCCGCUAUCAUUCCUUACUUUGUAUCCUUAUCAUGGUAUUUUUUGUCUCCUUCCACAAUUCACUACUAUCAUUCCUACCCCUCCCUUCAUCCAUAUCCUGGUAUUUUUUGUCUCCUUCCACAAUUCCUUGCUAUCAUUCCUACCCCUCCCUUAAUCCAUAUCCUGGUAUUCCUUCCACAAUUCCUUGCUAUCAUUCCUAUUCCUGUAUCCCUGGUAAUUUUUGUCUCUAUCCACAAUUCACUACUAUCAUUCCUAACCCACAAUUCACUACUAUCAUUCCUAACCCACAAUCCAUAUCCUGGUAUUUUUUGUGUCUCCAUCCACAAUAACCAGUCUGCUAUUCCCCAACUAUAUCCUAUUACUUCAGCUUGCUCAUCCUCCACUAUCAUGAUAGCUCAUCUUAUUGUCACCCACCCCCCACAACGUUUCAUACUGCAAUAUCUUCCAAUCCUCUUUAGCUAUCAUCACUUUAGCAAUCCCUUUCUAUUCACAAUUGCCAUCACUACAAUCUAUUCCAUGCACAACCCCUCCACCCACCCAUCAUUCAUUUGACUGAUGUCUUACUUUAGUAAUCACUCCUCUCCUUAUCUUGAUAUUAAUUUUGUCCUUCAGUCCCCUAUUUUCUUCUUUGCACUUUUUUUGGCAAUAAUUAAGUGUAGGUAAUUAAUAUCAAUGAUAAUUAGUAUUCAAUAUUCUGACAGAUGCAACAACAAUUAAGUGUGGCAACACUCUUUUAGUGUAGACUGCUUGUGUGUCCCCCCCCCUCAUGAUGGUCUAGACAUGCACUUACCUCUUUCAUCAAUCUUCUCACUCCUUUUGGAGGGGCCACCCCCUCUUCGGUAGAAGUGGGAGUUACCCCUUCAGAAGGGGAACCACUCUUUUUUCCCCCCUUUGGGGAACUUUCCCUUCCCCUUCCGGGGGAGGAAAAGCCCCCAUUGGGGGAUUUGACCCUCUCCCUUCUGGGGAGGGAAAACUGUCACCUGGCUCUUUGUGGUCCAGUCAGGCUCAAUGCGCCCUUUGGCGUGGGUGGGACCACUCACUACAUAGGGGGGGGCCAGGAACACAUGGAGCCAGGUGCCAGUACUUGGACGGAAAGAUUAGUGCCCGUUUUUUUCUUGGGGACUUUUCGACAGUGAACGUUUCACUGUAAACCUGAAUCUAAAUGAAGAGGAGGAAAUAAAAAAAAAAAAAAAAAAAAAAAAAAAAAAAAAAAAAA